UUGAAAUACUUGAAAUAUCUGAUACCGAUAUUCUUACAGAUAAUUUGAAAGCAUAGAAUAUAUCUUUGAUAUUCACAUAAUCUGUACCUAUAAAAGACGAAAAAAGUAUAAUUUCACAAAUUGCUAUUGCUCCAUUUAUUUUUUUAUGUUUGUAUCGUGAAAAUAUUCUUUAUACGUUGAAUUACACUUUAAAUUCGAUCAUUCGUUUUUAUGCAUUUCUUAUUGCUUGGUAAAAAAUGACUGAAAAUACAAUUGACUAAUAAUUUACGUAAAUGUUUACUAACAAGCUCACAUCGUAGAGGAUCAUGGACCGGCCUAUUUUGUGGAAGAUUCGUCAGACUUGCUGUUAAGGAUUUCUGACGAAUGUUCUGCAAAAUAGCUGGCCAUGGUAUUGAGUAGAGAGGCCGUCUUGAGAUUUGCCCAUCACGAUCACUCUUUGUUCAAACGCAAAUUGUCGCUUGAUUUUUUUGAUUCUCAAAAGCUCCGAUCACAAAGUAAGUACACGGGAUACGAAAGCGAGAAUAAAUCUCGACCCUGAAAAUAAAGAUUAAUUACAAUUAAUUAUUAACGUACAAUAUACUAUAGGUACUUUUAGAAUUAGGCAAACUUUCUACGAAUUUUUUAUUGGAAGUAUUCGUAGAAGUUUAGAAUCUCGCAUGAAUAUGCUACCAAAAUCGAAUGUCCAUAAGUUUUGCGAAGCUUACACGUGCUGCGUAAGCGCGUCAGAAUUUCAAUUGAAAAAGGCUAAGGGGAUCUUUUUUCAAAUAAAAAGGACUCGUAUCGAACAUACGUACUUUGGUGUGACUUAAGAUAAGCAAAUGAGAGAGAGAAAAAAGAGCGUAAUGUCUCGAAUAAACGAUAAUAAUGAUACAAAUGAUGACGAGGAUGAGCUAUGCAUAUAGCGCAUUUGAAUUGAAUAAAUGUUAAAUAA